rnacentral:rRNA from 1 species
UACAGAGGUCCCAAGCGUUGUUCGGAUUCAUUGGGCGUAAAGGGUGCGUAGGUGGCGCCGUAAGUCGGGUGUGAAAUUUCGGAGCUUAACUCCGAAACUGCAUUCGAUACUGUGGUGCUCGAGGACUGGAGAGGUGACUGGAAUUCAUGGUGUAGCAGUGAAAUGCGUAGAGAUCAUGAGGAAGACCAGUGGCGAAGGCGGGUCUCUGGACAGUUCCUGACACUGAGGCACGAAGGCCAGGGGAGCAAACGGG